rnacentral:rRNA from 1 species
AAGCGGCAAGAGCUCAAAUUUGAAAUCUGGCCCCUCCGGGGUCCGAGUUGUAAUUUGCAGAGGAUGCUUCGGGUGCGGCCCCUGUCUAAGUGCCUGGAACGGGCCGUCAGAGAGGGUGAGAAUCCCGUCUUGGGCAGGGUGCCCGUGCCCGUGUGAAGCUCUUUCGACGAGUCGAGUUGUUUGGGAAUGCAGCUCUAAAUGGGUGGUAAAUUUCAUCUAAAGCUAAAUACCGGCCGGAGACCGAUAGCGCACAAGUAGAGUGAUCGAAAGAUGAAAAGCACUUUGAAAAGAGAGUUAAACAGCACGUGAAAUUGUUGAAAGGGAAGCGCUUGCGACCAGACUCGGCCUCGGGGUUCAGCCAGCAUUCGUGCUGGUGUACUUCCCCGGGGCCGGGCCAGCGUCGGUUCGGGCGGCCGGUCAAAGGCCCCAGGAAUGUAUCGUCCUCCGGGACGUCUUAUAGCCUGGGGUGCAAUGCGGCCAGCCUGGACCGAGGAACGCGCUUCGGCACGGACGCUGGCGUAAUGGUUGCAAACGACCCGUCUUGAAACACGGACCAAGGAGUCUAACAUCUACGCGAGUGUUCGGGUGUCAAACCCGUACGCGCAGUGAAAGCGAACGGAGGUGGGAGCCCCUUUGGGGCGCACCAUCGACCGAUCCUGAUGUCUUCGGAUGGAUUUGAGUACGAGCGUAGCUGUGGGGACCCGAAAGAUGGUGAACUAUGCCUGAAUAGGGCGAAGCCAGAGGAAACUCUGGUGGAGGCUCGCAGCGGUUCUGACGUGCAAAUCGAUCGUCAAAUUUGGGUAUAGGGGCGAAAGACUAAUCGAACCAUCUGGUAGCUGGUUCCUGCCGAAGUUUCCCUCAGGAUAGCAGUAACGCGGAUCAGUUUUAUGAGGUAAAGCGAAUGAUUAGAGGCAUUGGGGUUGAAACAACCUUAACCUAUUCUCAAACUUUAAA